UUGUAGAUGCAACUGCGCAGAUUGAUGAGUUAUUCAUUCAACCAAACGGUAAGUGACAGUUUUUUUUUAAUGAUGAAAUGUGUUUUAUCAUUUAUUUAUAUAUUUUUUAUUUUUUUUAAGCCGCCCCAAAACCUGCAAUAGUUGCGGGUAAGAAUAUUUUAUUAUAUAUUUUCCCCUCUGUUAUGUUCUACAUGUCCUAUUAAUUAUAAAAUUUCUCUCUAUUUGUAGAUGCAACUGCGCAGAUUGAUGAGUUAUUCAUUCAACCAAACGGUAAGUGACAGUUUUUUUUAAAAUGAUGAAAUGUAUUUUAUCAUUUAUUUAUAUAUUUUUUAUUUUUUUAAGCUGCCCCAAAACCUGCAAUAGUUGUGGAUGCAACUGCGCAGAUUGAUGGGUUAUUCAUUCAACCAAACGCCGCCCCAGCGCAUGUGUUAGUUGCGGAUGCAACUGCGCAGAUUGAUGAGUUAUUCGUUCAACCAAACGUUAUAAUUCCACGUCUCAUCAGGAGCGGGCCGCAUGAGCUUCCUCGGGAACCUGGCACCCCGUUUGGAUUCAUUAUUGACGAAGCGAGAGGUCGAUAUUAUUCAUAUUAUUUUGUCUGAUUUGCUAUCCUGAUUAAAAAUGGAUGAUUCUAUUCCUGACAUACCGUGUGAAUUUCAAGAUUUUAUCAAUCAAAUAAACGAGCAAAUGGUGUCACAGCCUGAUAUACCUUACGAACUGUUGGAUAUUGUCAGCGGAAUAAACAAUGUGAAUCAGGUAAACAAUGAGAUGGCAUUUGAGCAACACAACCCAGACACGCUGAUUGAUUCAGAUGAUCCAUUUGUAGCCAUUCGAUCAAUAGAUGAUUUUGUCGAUUUCUUUCAGCCUUUACAAAACGCUUUAAUACAACUUAAUCAACCGAGCAAUGUUCCAAACGAAUCAACUGACAGUGUCAUGCACAAUGAUGUACAAGCUGACACACAGGAGCAAACUGACAGUGUCAUGCAUAAUGAUGUACAAGCUGACACACAGGAGCAAACUGACAGUGUCAUGCACAAUGAUGUACAAGCUGACA